UAUGGCUAUAUCACACUGAACACACCAGUUCUCAUCUGAUCAUCGAAGUUAAGCAACAUAGAACUUGGUCAGUAUUUGGAUGGGUGACUGCUUGGGAAUAUCAGGUGCUGUAAG